UUCUCAAUGACUCCCGAACUCCUCACAGCUGUGUGAGGUGUCUUUGGAGACUGGCUACAGCCUCCCACUUCCUCAGGUCUGAGGAUGUGAGGCAGAAAGACAAACCUCAAGUCGGCUGGAAGCGUUUGCAAAGCAUCUUUUAGUCCACAGCGUGCUGUCACUGGCGCCUGCUUGGCCCAGCCUUGGUCUGGGCCCUGGGGACAUUGAUGAGUCAGGUCUGCAUCCUGAACCCCCUGUCCAGUGGUGGCCACUCUGGCUGUGCCUGCUGCCUUGCCCAGAGUUGUGGGCUGUUCUGUGAGAGGACUCAGUUGGGGCCUUGGUGAGUUGUGGUUCCAGCUAAAAGAGGCUGUGGCCUGGACACACACACCCAGAACCUUUCAUCCUCUGCUCAAGCCUCCUGUCCCCAGACAAGACCUCCUGUCCCCAGACAGGCCUUCCUUAUAGACAGUUCAUGUAUCCCACUGGCUUUCUGCAAGGGCUCCCUCUGCCUGGGACUAGCCACCCUGUUCUUUGUUUGCCACUGCUGGCUACCUGAGACUGGAUCCCCAUCUCUCCCCCCCCCCCCCCCCACUGCUCAACAGAGAGGAAUACUGCACCUUGAACACUUAGGCUGUGGCUCCGUUCAGAACAGGCCCUUCCCUCCAAGUGCCCCAGCCUUCCUGAGCUCCUGUCUCCCUGUCACCUGUGCCUCCGCCUUACAGGGCCUUCUCCCUGAGGAAAGGCAUUGACCAUGUCAGCACAGGGCUGCUGAGUGUGAAUGACCUGUGAGGUGUUUGUUGAAUGAGUGGUAUUUUUGCCCUUCUCUAAAAGCUGGAGCCAAAAGAAUACAUCACAAGAGCUCAGAACUGAGGUGAAUCAGAGGUCUAAAGCUUGUUUGCUGUCUCCAUCGGCACAAAAUGCCGGUCAGCCAGGAGACUUCUCAAGGAGGUGGUGUGACGUCCUGACCCCUUGGGCAGAACUGGGACCCUUGAAGAUGACCUCACAAGGUAGAAGGCACUCAGAAGGACCCUGGUUCAGAGUCAUCAGCCUGAAGAGGCAGGUUCUGGGCUGUCCCAGAUGGCCAGGGCACAGACCAGAACAAGCGGCAGCAGAGCUGAGUGGUCUGUGAAUGCUUGCUUCUCCAGUGUAUGCAGAGAUGAGAUUCAAGGGCUGGGUCAGGCACAGCAGCUCCAGAGGUUUUGGAGGUUAAACACAGGCGCCCCCUGUGUCCCAGGAGGAACUUAGUUACCUGUGUUGGUGAGCACCAGGACUACCACACCACAGCACACCUCACCACACUACACCACAGCACACUGGCUGUGGCUAGGCUUCUGCAAUGAGUGCUGUGUUUGAGGACCGGUUGCCUUCAGGCUAAGAACAUCUGAAGCUCGUUAGCUGCCUGUUCCCUGGGGGCUGACCCCGCUUGGCUUGGCGAGAAUUACCCCCAGACAGAAAUUGCAAAGGAUGCAAACGAAGACCAGGUCCUGGUGUCUGACAAGCAUGAAGUCUGACCAGCAGACCUGACACUGAUCUCUCUCAACACCUCACAGGUCAGGAAGGCUGGGCCUAGCAUUACCCUGACCUCAGACAGCCUCUCAUUCCCUCUUGGGACUCUUGAGAAGCUGUGGCAUGGUGAGCCUGGUUUCUGAGGCACAACUUCUCAGGGAGACCUGCUGGACACUGGGGAAGACACAGACACGUCUCCCAGACAGUACAGAUGACCUAAGGGCAUGCAUGUGACCAAAGUGGGCUUUUUCCCAAGCCUUGGUUUUGCUCCAGAUGCCUCACUCCUCAUUUGCUGCCUUCUGUCUUCUGACAGCUGUUCCCACGAGGAAUAAUCCUUGACAGCAGACCCUGGAAGACCGCCUUAGACCGGAUUCUGGAAAGGUCUGGCGUCUUCAGGAACAGCAAAACUUCCGCCCAAACGGAACUGUUUAAGUGUAUGAUAUCCUAAGACCUACUCCUGGCCAGUAAUCCAAAGACUGCAUCCAGCUGCCCCCCACCCCCAACACUCUGUGGAUUUGCUGUGUGACCCUGCUGCUCUCUGAGUCUGUUUCAUCAAUUGUAAAGGAUUGGGAUUGAUCAAGUGGUUUCUGCCUGGCUAGUCCCAGUGGCCUCAGCCUUGACUUCUCAAGUAAGACUUCCAGUCCCGGGACAAGGCUGACAUGGCUCUGAGGUUUGCCUGAGGGCAGGUAUCAUGCCACUUUGGGCUUCCCCAUGGAGCGGCUCAGACCAGAGUGCAUAUCAUAUAUCAGGUCUGCAUAGAGUCCCCAGAAGGUAGACAUCCAGGACUUUUGGAUACAGUGUGAGGUAUCUCCAGGGAGGUCCUGCCUGCCCUGUACCUGGCUUCUUCCUGGCUCACAGGUCUGGGCCAAAGCUUGCCGAUGGAGCCACUGUCUGCCUUAAGCUCACAGCUUGGGAGAUGGUGUGGACCCUCCUCAUGGAGUGUCAGUAAUGUUUCCCAGAGGGCCUUGGGGCUCAUGACAUUAUGGACAGCAGUUUCCAAGUGGGACCCACAAGGCUAAGUCCAUUUAAAAAUGAGCAAUGCUCCUGGGAGUUGGUGGUGGAUGCCUUUAAUCCCAGCCCUUGGGAGGCAGAGGCAGGUAGAUCUCUGUGAGUUCUAGGCCAGCCUGGUCUGAAUUCCAAGACAGCCAGGGCUGUUACACAGAGAAACCCUAUCUGGAAAAACAGAAGAACAAAAAUGAAACAGAAAAAUGAGCGGUGCCUUUUUUUUUUCUUUCUUUUUCUUUCCAUUUUGGCUGAGACAUGGAAUGUAAGUUAAAUGACUGCAGGGAUUUACACAGAAAUUACACAGGCUGGAUCCAAAACUGCCUCUGGUUUCUGGGGUCCUAAACACAAUGACAGAAUCCAGAAGUUUGUUCCCUCCUUUCUUAAAGCCACCCUGAUUCUAUUCCAGGUUCCCCCAACAGUACUAAGAUCAGGGGAAAUGGCAGUCUUUAGGGCCUAGGCGGUUUCUCUCACCCUCAGCUAAUAUCUGUAAAACAAGCAUAAUAGUUCUUCACCUGAGCAUUGCUCUAAGACAGCAUGACACCAGCCAAAUGUUUAUUCAUUCAACACUACUUACCAAGCACCUUCUCUCUACCAGGCAUUGUCAAGACCCCUUUUGGAACUAUACUGCAAUGGAGGAGACAGAGAAUAAACCAAUAAUGAAGGUGUCUCUAACUAAUGUUGCUAUUACAAAAUACCAGAGGUAAGGUACUUAAUAAACAAGAGAGGCUGAACUGACUCAUGGUCUUAAAUGCCCAAGAUAUGAUAGCACAUCUAGUCAGCUUCUGAUGAGGGCUUUGUGCAGCAUCUAUUCAGGUAAAGAACUGGAAAGACAAAGUGGGCAUGCAUAGAAGGAGUAUGUGAGAGAGGGCAGGGUAGGUUGACUUAAAAUCCAGCUUAGAGAGACCUAACUCCCUCUUAUGAGAACUAGUUUAAUUUAUUAAGGGAAAUAUAAAUCCAUUUAUGAUGGUGGUGACUCGCCUGCCAGCAGGCCUCCCUAUUAGCACACAGGGAGUCAGUUAGUCCUUACACACCUUUGCAGGGCACACUAUACUUGGAUACAUCAGAUAGAAUGUGUUCUGUGCUGAAAAUAAAAACUCCCUCUGGAGGAGGGGUAGUGGGUGGGCCAGGGCCUGUCAGGUGGCCUCACCAAGAAAGGAAGGGUUUGACAGACUCUGAGGGUGAAGCUUUGCAUCAUGUGGAGGAAGAACCCCCCCCCCCAGCUGAGGAAGGACACUGGUGAUUGUGGAAGCAGGAGGUGAGCUAGAUAUGGCACUCUAAACCUUGACUUCUCAGCCUUGCUCUGGGCUGCAGCAGCUCUGCAGUCAGAGGGACAGUCAGAGGGACAGCUAGGACAGUCAGGGAACAGUCAGGGAAUAGUCAGGGGACAGUCAGGAGGACAGUAGGAAACAGUCAUGGGGACAGUCAGGGGGACAACCGAGAACAGUCAGGGUACAGUCAGGGACUGUGGCUAGCUUUGCACUCUGAUCUUCAGACAAGCCUCAUUUGUUAGAUCAUAAAUAAGAUGUCACCACACAGGGAGGCUCCUGACUCCCCGUGCUCCUCUAGGUCUGACUCUGGCGAUUCAUCACAGCCAUUCCCAGUGUUUCAGCUAACCAUUCAGCCCAGCCUGGGUCCUGGAUGCAAUCCCAAGUGGGGGCCAGAAACAGGAAGCUGGGGUCUCCAGCCCUUUCUAAAAAUCUCAGAGUCUGUGGCAGUGAUCAAAAGUCUGCAUCGCACUAGAGAUCAUUUUCUGUAGGAUUGCCUCCUCCCUUUCCUUCCCUGUAUAUAAAAAAAAACCAGGGAGCACACUGCUGGCACACAGCUGUGUGUCUAGGGAACCAGAUUUAGUGAUCUGAUUCUGAUGUCCCCUCCCUGGCCUGAUGCCCCAGGACUCACUGCAGGCUUCAACCAGGCCAGGGCCACACCUUCUUUCCACCCUUGUCUUUAUUUUUCCCUCUCCUCUCAGUACAGUUCUAUUCCUCUGCUGGAACUCUCUGUGCUCCCUCCCUCCCUCCUUCCCUUCCUCCCUCCCUCCGAUCCUCCCUUCCAGUCAGCAUUAUGAGAAGGGUUCACAACUCAAGACAGAUGGAUCAGGGCUCAAACCCCAGUUCCUACUGCACUUUUCUGCCUGCCUUGGUUUCUUGUCCUAGGAAAGUGGGUGAGCCUCCCAAUCCAUGCUCCUAUGGAACAUUUAAGUUGAGAUGUUUCUAGAAUCCUUCUGCAAAAUAGUGGGUACUCAACAAAUGGAAGUUCUCUCUUACUUUUCUCCCCAUGACCUUCUCCCUGUCUCCUUCAUACACAAAGCAAAAGACCACACACACACACAUACAUACACACACACACACACACACACACACCUGGUCCCCAAGCACCAUGCUGUGAAGCCAAUAGUGCUCACUCUGGCCCUAUGCUGGAGGCAUGCCUAGUUGUCACGCUAGCCUCUGUCAUGGAGCUCCCAAAGGGAUUUAUAAGACAUCCUCUAAGCUGUGACUCAGAUACCAAAGUUGUUUUUUCACUAACUAGAAUACAGGAGAGACAUGCUGUCAACAUCUCAGUAUGGCCUACAGACCCCCGCAGUGACCCCAAAUUACAUUCCUUACACUUACAGGCUUCUCUCCAUAUCCUACAUUCUUGACCCCAGCUAGAGAGUCUAACAUCCUCAUUUCACUUUUUAAAGGUCUUUUGAGCUGGAGUUUUGUGUCAUCUAGGCUGACCUCUAAUUCUUGUUAGUGAACUGAGGAUGGCCUUGAACUUCCAAUCUUCCUGCUUCCACUAGCUGAGUAUUAACAUUGUGAGCAUGCCCCAUAGCGCCUGGAUGAUUACUCAAAUUUUUAAAUGGAAAAAAUAAUUGAGCCAGGUAGUAGUGGUGCAUACCUUUAAUCCUAGCACUCAGGAGACAGAUGCAGAUGGAUCUCUGUGCGUUUAAGGCCAGCCUGGUCUACAAGUGAAUUCCAGGACAGCCAGGACAGUUUCACAGAGAAACUGGGGAAAAAAACAAAAAAGAAAGAAAGGAAGAAAGAUAGAUUGAGGCUCAUUUGCAUUAGUAAUUGGGGAAAUGCAAAUCAGAACCACAGGCAGAGCUGGGAUGAGGAUCAGCUGGUAGACUGCUUGCCUGUCUUGCACAAAGCCCUGAGUUUGAUCCCCAGGACAGCAUAUACCCACGCCUAUAAUCUCAGCACUUGGGAGGUGGAGG